AGAGUUUGAUCAUGGCUCAGGAUGAACGCUGGCGGCGUGCUUAAUACAUGCAAGUCGAGCGAGGACCAUUUGGUGGCAACACCGGGUGGCUCCUAGCGGCGAACGGGUGAGUAACACGUGGGCAACCUACCCCCGACUCUGGGAUAAGCCCGGGAAACUGGGUCUAAUACCGGAUACGAGCCUCCUCCGCAUGGUGGAGGUUGGAAAGGGUCUCCGGUCGGGGAUGGGCCCGCGGCCUAUCAGCUUGUUGGCGGGGUAACGGCCCACCAAGGCGACGACGGGUAGCCGGCCUGAGAGGGUGAACGGCCACACUGGGACUGAGACACGGCCCAGACUCCUACGGGAGGCAGCAGUAGGGAAUCUUGCGCAAUGGGCGAAAGCCUGACGCAGCGACGCCGCGUGCGGGACGAAGGCCUUCGGGUUGUAAACCGCUUUCAGCAGGGACGAAGCGAAAGUGACGGUACCUGCAGAAGAAGGUCCGGCCAACUACGUGCCAGCAGCCGCGGUA
rnacentral:rRNA from 1 species